UCAAACCCUGCAUAGCAGAACAACCGCGAACACGUUGAAAAACAUAUUCUGGGUAUGUGUGUUCGGGAUUAGGCGAGAGCCCCCCGUGUACGCAGCCCAGCCUUGUGGUGCAGCAGCGAGUGAGCGAAAGCCUGUGAGCUCUGGACCCAAGUAACUAACCCCGGCGCAAUUCGCGCCAAGGAAAAAAUUAAACUCAAGGGCAUGCUAUCCUCUUUUUGCCCCCGUUUUCGGGUGUGUGACUGGGUGUUUGGCAGCUUCUUAGUGAAAACACAAAACGACUCUCGGCAACGGAUAUCUCGGCUCUCGCAUCGAUGAAGAACGUAGCGAAAUGCGAUACUUGGUGUGAAUUGCAGAAUCCCGUGAACCAUCGAGUCUUUGAACGCAAGUUGCGCCCGAAGCCUUUAGGUCGAGGGCACGUCUGCAUGGGCGUCACGCAUCGCGUCGCCCCCAAAAAACAUCUUGCACUUUCAWGUGCUUGCUUGAUGGGGAGCGUAGAUUGGCCUCCCGUGCCUCUCCGUGCGGCUGGCUCAAAAUGGAGUCCCUCGUGAAGGACGCACGACAAGUGGUGGUUGAUAAUAAGGCCCUCGCGUUUUGUCGUCCGGUAAUCCUUUGCGGGUGUAAUGACCCUGAUGACACACCUUCACGAUCACACCCUAGCGGUKCUUGAUGGUGGAAAUGUGCUCCGACCGCGA
rnacentral:misc_RNA from 1 species